ACGGGUGAGUAAUAUAUCGGAACGUGCCCAAUCGUGGGGGAUAACGUAGAGAAAUUUACGCUAAUACCGCAUACGAUCUAAGGAUGAAAGCGGGGGAUCGCAAGACCUCGCGCGAUUGGAGCGGCUGAUAUCAGAUUAGGUUGUUGGUGAGGUAAAAGCUCACCAAGCCGACGAUCUGUAGCUGGUUUGAGAGAACGACCAGCCACACUGGGACUGAGACACGGCCCAGACUCCUACGGGAGGCAGCAGUGGGGAAUUUUGGACAAUGGGCGAAAGCCUGAUCCAGCAAUGCCGCGUGCAGGAAGAAGGCCUUCGGGUUGUAAACUGCUUUUGUACGGAACGAAACGGCUCUUUCUAAUAAAGAGGGCUAAUGACGGUACCGUAAGAAUAAGCACCGGCUAACUACGUGCCAGCAGCCGCGGUAAUACGUAGGGUGCGAGCGUUAAUCGGAAUUACUGGGCGUAAAGCGUGCGCAGGCGGUUAUAUAAGACAGUUGUGAAAUCCCCGGGCUCAACCUGGGAAUUGCAUCUGUGACUGUAUAGCUAGAGUACGGUAGAGGGGGAUGGAAUUCCGCGUGUAGCAGUGAAAUGC
rnacentral:rRNA from 13 species